rnacentral:rRNA from 1 species
CAGCAGCCACGGUAAUACGUAGGGUGCAAGCGUUAAUCGGAAUUACUGGGCGUAAAGCGUGCGCAGGCGGUCCGCUAAGGCAGAUGUGAAAUCCCCGGGCUCAACCUAGGAAUUGCAUUUGAUACUGUUUGGCUUGAGUUCGGGAGAGGUGAGUGGAAUUCCCAGUGUAGAGGUGAAAUUCGUAGAUAUUGGGAAGAACACCAGUGGCGAAGGCGGCUCACUGGACCGACACUGACGCUGAGGCGCGAAAGCGUGGGGAGCGAACAGGAUUAGAGACCCCUGUAGUCCCUGUCUCUUAUAA